ACAACCAGUUCUUUGUGAUACGAAUCUAGCAGUUAUGUAAAAGGUAUCACAUAAAGAAAGCUCCCAGUUUACUUUCAUGUUGUACUUUUGAAGAUAACAAACCAUGAAAAGUGCAAGAAUGUACUUUUCUUUUCUCUUCCAGCGAAGCCCUGGAUCUUUCCUUGUUCCAGAUGUUCAUCAUUGAUCAGACAAGGAUGUGUGGCCAGAGGAUGGAGGUGUGGAGUGAUGUCGUUGAUGCCACACCCUGGCAACUACAGGAGACCAUCUCUAUCAGCAAAGCCCUGGAUCUUUCCUUGUUCCAGAUGUUCAUCUUUGACCAGACAAGGAUGUGUGGCCAGAGGAUGGAGGUGUGGAGUGAUGUCGUUGAUGCCACACCCUGGCAACUACAGGAGACCAUCUCUAUCAUGUUAAGGGUUCAAACCGUCACGCGCACGCACGCACACACACUUCCAAAGAACUUCUGAGGAAAGUGGAGGACCAGUUGUGUUUUCACUUUCACAGUUCCAUGCAAAUAGGCACAAAGAGUUCUGAGUGAUUGGUUUUAUGGUGUGUGAAGCACUGGUGUGCAAUGCACUGUCUGUGAUGACUACUUCAAGCUUGUGACUCUAGAAACUUAUUGGAUGCAUUUGCAGUUCAGUUUGGUUGUUUCCGAUUAUUUUGUGCCCAAUAAAUAUCAGCACUCCUACUAAAGUUUGAAUUUUAAAUAUUGGGGGGGAAAAUGUAUUACUUGUUAAACUAAAUCUCUUUCUCUGAGCAAUUGUAUUAGUGUAAGAUAGAUUAAUUUCCAAAUGUUUUGCUCAGUAUUUUAAUUACUUAUUUGAUACAGUCAUUAAUGCUCGUCUUUAUCAAGGGUGUCAAGUGUGUUAAUCUGGUUUAAUGACCUGUUAAAUGCCCCUCCAAUACAGUCACCACAAAGACACCCAUCAAUCAAAAAUAAUGAUGUAAGAAAACACCUG